AUGUGUGUGUGUACACGUGCGUGCGCGCGCGCGCUGUCUGCUGUGUUUGGGCCACGCGGAGAAAAGCGUAGAAGAGAGCAGCCAAUUGUCUCUGUGAACGGCGGAGCUGCCUACCCGCCCGCCCCGGGUUUCGAGAUCAGGGCAGCAGAGACUACAUAAAGACACUGUUGGAUUUAUAUCUUUUCUUUUUCCUGGCUGGCUGUUGGCACCAUGCUGUGUCCGUUUCUGUAAUAAUGUCUCCAAUAAAGUUGUCUAUUAAA